rnacentral:rRNA from 1 species
UGCCAGCCGCCGCGGUAAUACGAAAGGGGCUAGCGUUGUUCGGAAUUACUGGGCGUAAAGCGCACGUAGGCGGCAAUGUAAGUUGGGGGUGAAAUCCCGGGGCUCAACCCCGGAACUGCCUCCAAAACUACAUAGCUAGAGGAUGUGAGAGGAUAGUGGAAUUCCGAGUGUAGAGGUGAAAUUCGUAGAUAUUCGGAGGAGCACCAGUGGCGAAGGCGGCUUUCUGGACCGAUACUGACGCUGAGACGCGAAAGCGUGGUGAGCAAACAGGAUUAGAUA